UGGGGAAUUUUGGACAAUGGGCGAAAGCCUGAUCCAGCAAUGCCGCGUGUGUGAAGAAGGCCUUCGGGUUGUAAAGCACUUUUGUCCGGAAAGAAAUCCUUGGCUCUAAUACAGUCGGGGGAUGACGGUACCGGAAGAAUAAGCACCGGCUAACUACGUGCCAGCAGCCGCGGUAAUACGUAGGGUGCAAGCGUUAAUCGGAAUUACUGGGCGUAAAGCGUGCGCAGGCGGUUUGCUAAGACCGAUGUGAAAUCCCCGGGCCCAACCUGGGAACUGCAUUGGUGACUGGCAGGCUAGAGUAUGGCAGAGGGGGGUAGAAUUCCACGUGUAGCAGUGAAAUGCGUAGAGAUGUGGAGGAAUACCGAUGGCGAAGGCAGCCCCCUGGGCCAAUACUGACGCUCAUGCACGAAAGCGUGGGGAGCAAACAGGAUUAGAUACCCUGGUAGUCCACGCCCUAAACGAUGUCAACUAGUUGUGGGGAUUCAUUUCCUUAGUAACGUAGCUAACGCGUGAAGUUGACCGCCUGGGGAGUACGGUCGCAAGAUUAAAAACUCAAAUGAAUUGACGGGGUC
rnacentral:rRNA from 1 species